AGGCAGCAGUGGGGAAUAUUGGACAAUGGGCGAGAGCCUGAUCCAGCCAUGCCGCGUGUGUGAAGAAGGUCUUCGGAUUGUAAAGCACUUUAAGUUGGGAGGAAGGGCAGUAAGCUAAUACCUUGCUGUUUUGACGUUACCGACAGAAUAAGCACCGGCUAACUUC
rnacentral:rRNA from 1 species